rnacentral:rRNA from 1 species
GCACAAGCGGUGGAGCAUGUGGUUUAAUUCGACGCAACGCGAAAAACCUUACCUGGGUUUGACAUGCCGAGUACCCGAUGGAAACAUUGGGUGCCCCGUAAGGGGAACUUGGACACAGGUGCUGCAUGGCUGUCGUCAGCUCGUGCCGUGAGGUGUUGGGUUAAGUCCCGCAACGAGCGCAACCCUCACCCUUAGUUGCCAUCAUUAAGUUGGGCACCCUAAGGGAACUGCCGCAGUUAAUGCGGAGGAAGGUGGGGAUGACGUCAAGUCCUCAUGGCCCUUAUAUCCAGGGCUACACACGUGCUACAAUGGGCGGUACAAAGGGUCGCGAACCUGUAAGGGGGAGCUAACCCCAGAAAACCGUUCUCAGUUCGGAUUGGAGUCUGCAACCCGACUCCAUGAAGUUGGAAUCGCUAGUAAUCGCGGAUCAGAACGCCCGCGGUCGAAUACGUUCCCGGGCCUU